rnacentral:misc_RNA from 1 species
UAAUACGUAGGGUGCAAGCGUUAAUCGGAAUUACUGGGCGUAAAGCGUGGCACAGGCGGUUCUGAAAGAACGAUGGGAAUCCCAGAGCUUGAACUUUGGAACUGCAUUUUUAACUACCGAGCUAGAGUGUGUCAGAGGGAGGUGGAAUUCCCGCGUGUAGCAGUGAAAUGCGUAGAUAUGCGGAGGAACACCGAUGGCGAAGGCAGCCUCCUGGGAUAACACUGACGUCUAUGCACGAAAGCGUGGGGAGCAAAUGUAGGAUUAGAUACCCUGGUAGUCCACGCCCUAAACGAUGUCAACUAGCUGUUGGGGCCUUCGGGCCUUGGUAGCGCAGCUAACGAAGUUGACCGCCUGGGGAGUACGGUCGCAAGAUUAAAACUCAAAGGAAUUGACGGGGACCCGCACAAGCGGUGGAUGAUGUGGAUUAAUUCGAUGCAACGCGAAAACCUUACCUAAAUUCUUGACAUGUCUGGAAUCCCGAAGAGAUUUGGGAGUGCUCGCAAGAGAACCGGAACACAGGUAUGUAUGGCUGUCAGCUCGUGUCGUGAGAUGUUGGGUUAAGUCCGCAACGAGCGCAACCCUUGUCAUUAGUUGCUGGCCAGAAAGGGCACUCUAAUGAGACUGCCGGUGACAAACCGGAGGAAGGUGGGGAUACGUCAAGUCCUCAUGGCCCUUAAGGGUAGGGCUUCACACGUCAUACAAUGGUCGGGACAGAGGGUCGCUAACCCGCGAGGGGGAGCCAAUCCCAGAAACCCGAUCGUAGUCCGGAUCGCAGUCUGCAACUCGACUGCGGGAAGUCAGGACCGCUAGUAAUCGCGGAUCAGCAUGUCGCGGUGAAUACGUUCCCGGGUCUUGUACACACCGCCCGUCACACCAUGGAGUGGGUUUUACCAGAAGUAGUUAGCCUAACCGUAAGGAGGGCGAUUACCACGGUAGGAUUCAUGACUGGGGUGAAGUCGUAACAAGCGUA